UUAAAUUUCCCACUGAUUGAAAAUUAAUGAAUUAUUGAAUAUUUGUAAAGUGAUCUACAUUUGUUUGUGGUUAAGACAUUUUGAAACAUUUUAUAGCUUUUAAAGGUGUAAAUUUUCUGAAGUUAUGUAUGUGAUAUUUAAAAGUGCUGUUUUUUAGCUCACCUGUCACAAAGUGACAGGGUGAGCUUUUGUGAUCGCUUUUUCGUCCGGCGUCUGUAAACUUUUACUUUAAAUGACAUCUCCUCAUAAACCACGAAGCCAAUUUCAUCCAAACUUCACAGGAAUGUUCCUUUGGUGGUCACCUUUGAAAAUUGUUCAAAGAAUUUAAUUCCAUGCAGAACUCUGGUUGCCAUGGCAACCAAAAGAAAAAACUUAAAAUAUCUUCUUCUAAAAAACCCAAAGAGCUAGAGCUUAGAUUUUUGGCAUGAAACAUCUUCUGGUGAGUGUCUACCAAGUUUGUUCAAAUAAAAGCCCUAGGAUAUUUAGCAUGAAACAUCUUCUAAUGGAUGUCUACCAAGUUUGUUCAAAUAAAAGCCCUGGGGUCAAAGUUGGCCCCACCCCAGGGGGUCAUUGAUUUUCCAUAUAUACAUAUAGUAAAAACUUCAAAAAAUCUUCUUUUAAAGAACCCAAAGAGCUAGAGCUAAGAUAUUUAGCAUGAAACAUCUUCUAAUGAGUGUCUACCAAGUUUGUUCAAAUAAAAGCUCUUGGGUCAAAAUUUGCCCGGCCCUGGGGGUCAUUGAUUUUCCAAAUUUCCUUGUAUGUGUAUAGGAAAAACUUAAAAAAUCUUCUUUGGAAAAAACCAAAUAGCUAGAGUUUAGAUAUAUAGCAUGAAACAUCUUCUAGUCAUUGUCUACAAAGUUUGUUCAAAUAAAAGCCCUGGGGUCAAAAUUGUCCCACCCCGGAGGUCAUUCAUUUUCCCUAUAUGUGUAAAACUAAAGCAAAAAUUGAAAAAUCUUCUUUGAAAAAACUCAAAUAGCUAGAGUUUAGAUAUUAAGCACGAAGCAUCUUCUAGUGAGUGUCUUCAAAGUUUGUUCAAAUAAAAGCCCUGGAGUCAAAAUUGGCCCCGCCCCGGGGGACAUUGAUUUUCCUUAUCGAGUAAAGCAAAAACUUACAAAUCUUCUUUGAAAAAACCCGAAUAGCUAGAGUUUAGAUAUUAAGCUUGAAACAUUUUCUAGUAAGUGUCUACAAAGAUUGUUCAAAUCAAAGCCCUGGGGUCAAAACUGGCCCUGCCCCAGGUGUGUCAUUGUUUUUAACUAUAUGUGUAAAGAAAAAACUUAAAAAAAUCUUCUUUUAAAAAUCCCAAGGAGCUAGACCUUAGAUGUUUAGCAUGAAACAUCUUCUAAUGGUUGUCUACAAAGUUUGUUCAAAUAAAAGCCCCGGGCUUUAAACUGGUCCCGCUCCGGGGGCCUAUGUACAGGUGAGCGACUUCAGGGCCAUCAUGGCCCUCUUGUUGUUGUUUUUUUUGCUUUGGAAACCAUGGAAAAGAUGAUUUUAUGAUUGUACACUUUCUUGUUAUUUUCCAAUAUUUUAUGGAAAUGAUUUUAGAAAAAGGUGCUUUAAUGAUUUAUUUGAAGGAUUAAGAAAAUGCUUUGUAGUUGCUUUUUUACUGUUGUUUGUAUGUAAAAUAUAAUGGUGUUUUUGUUUAAACAUGUAGCAAUAAAGAGCAACGGUAAACACCAAACAUUCUAGAGUAAGAAGGUACAUUUUUAAACUCUCUUGACAUGCCAUUUUAGCCGCAUCACAACAAAACCAACAUAAUGCGUUUGCGACCAGCAUGGAUCCAGACCAGACUGCGCAUCCGCGCAGUCUGAUUAGGAUCCAUGCUGUUCGCUAUUUGUAAUAGGGUUGGUAAGAGAACAGCAUGGAUCCUGAUCAGACUGCGCAGAUGCGCAGGCUGAUCUGGAUCCAUACUGGUCGCAAACGCACAAUGUUGGUUUUGUCGUGACGCGGCUCAUUUGGUCUUGUGAGCUGUUUGACAGACAAUAAAGUAAACAUAGAGAUACAUAGAUAGUCAGUAAACAAGUCUCUUGUUGCCUGAAGGAGUUGCAAUACAAAAAUAGAAUUUACUAAAUGUACCUCUGUACUUAAACUUCGUACGAACUUGUCACAGAUUUGAGACAGUUUCUUUAUAUACCAAUAUUUUUUGAUGAUGUGGAAAUGUUCAAUAUGUUACAGUCAAACCUGUACUGAAGAAGCAUCUGCAAAAUUUAUAAAACUUACAUAGAAAACUCGAUCAAUGAAAGGCCAGCUUGUUUUUGUUAUUUUAGAUCAUUUUGAUUAGUUAAUAUCAAUAUUAUUAUGAUAAUUAUUUCAUAGUAAUUAAUACUACAGUACAAACCUCUAUUUAGAGGACACAUGUACCCUAUACUUGUUUAAUAUGUUUAUUAUGAAGACCAGUUUCUAGGCCAUAUAUAAAAUAUUGUUUGUCACCUCUGAUCAACCAAUAUAAUAUUGCUUAUCUUGAAAUAUGGUAAAUUUUUGUUAAAGUAUCUGACAGAAAAAUGAAUUCAUGCACCAUGUGGGAAGUGGCAAACUUAUAUUUUUUAUGUGUAGCCUUUUUGAGUUGACUGUUUUCUUCAUUAUAAGACAAAAUUAUUAGAAGGAAAAAGUUGUUUACUCCUGAACAUUACACACAAAAAAUGAUGUUGCUGUGUCGGCAAUAUUUGUACUAUUUACAAACGGUUAACUAGUUUUUGUAUUAAGAUCUGUUUUCUAAUGGAUACAGAGAAAAAUAAGACAUUUGUAGUAAAGUUCAAGGGGAAAUAUGAUGUGUGUAUUUGUGAAACCUUGUAAAAACUAUAUGAGUUGUUUAACCUUGUAUUGGAUAUGUCAGCAACCUUGGUGUUGUCUCAGUUAUAAAAA